rnacentral:misc_RNA from 1 species
GAUGAAGAACGUAGCGAAAUGCGAUAAGUAGUGUGAAUUGCAGAAUUCAGUGAAUCAUCGAAUCUUUGAACGCACAUUGCGCCCCUUGGUAUCCCGAGGGGCAUGCCUGUUCGAGCGUCAUUUCACCACUCAAGCCUGGCUUGGUGUUGGGCGACGUCCUCUUUGGGGACGCGCCUCGAAACGCUCGCGGCGUGGCACCGGCUUUAAGCGUAGCAGAAUCUUUCGCUUUGGAAGUCGGGGCCCCGUCUGCCGGAAGACCUGCUCGCAAGGUUGACCUCGGAUCAGGCAGGGAUACCCGCUGAACUUAAGCAUAUCAAUAAGCGGAGGA